rnacentral:rRNA from 1 species
AGAGUUUGAUCAUGGCUCAGAACAAACGCUGGCGGCGUGCCUAAUACAUGCAAGUCGAACGAGGAAAGUAGCAAUAUGAGUACUAGUGGCGCACGGGUGAGUAAUGCGUGGAUAAUCUGCCUUCGAGUUGGGGAUAACUAGUCGAAAGAUUAGCUAAUACCGAAUAAGACCACAGGAUCUGAGGAUCUAGGGGUUAAAGGUUUUUCGCUUGAAGAUGAGUCCGCGUGAGAUUAGCUAGUUGGUGAGGUAAUGGCUCACCAAGGCGACGAUCUCUAACUGGUCUGAGAGGAUGAUCAGUCACACUGGAACUGAGACACGGUCCAGACUCCUACGGGAGGCAGCAGUAGGGAAUAUUGCACAAUGGAGGAAACUCUGAUGCAGCGACGCCGCGUGAGUGAUGAAGGCCUUCGGGUCGUAAAGCUCUGUCGCAGGGGAAUAACACAAUGAAUGUACCCUGUAAGAAAGGAUCGGCUAACUUCGUGCCAGCAGCCGCGGUAAGACGAGGGAUCCUAGCGUUGUUCGGAAUUAUUGGGCGUAAAGCGGGUGCAGGUGGCUUUGUAAGUCAGAUGUGAAAGCCCAGGGCUCAACCCUGGAAGUGCAUUUGAUACUGCGAAGCUUGAGUGUAGGAGAGGUUACUAGAAUUCUUGGUGUAGUGGUGAAAUACGUAGAUAUCAAGAGGAAUACCGGUGGCGAAGGCGGGUAACUGGCCUAACACUGACACUCAGACCCGAAAGCGUGGGGAUCAAACAGGAUUAGAUACCCUAGUAGUCC